GCUUCGGUGGUGUAGUGGUAGUAGCACGCGUCCGCGGUAUGGAUGAAACGCGGUUCGACUUCCGCCUGAGGCG